CCUUGAGACAACGGGGAAGUGGACACCCAGAAGGGCGUGGAGGAGGGCAGUCACGGCCUGAGCCGCAUGCUGGCUCCUCCUUCCCACCCAUCCAGCAAGGCUCCAGCCUGACGAGAUGGAAUCCAAGUCUCCAGAAGAAGCCGACGCCAGGCAAGGGAGCACUUCCCCCGUGGACUCAGUGCCCGCUGCCCUGGCCCAGGGGAAAAGCAUCCGAAAGACCAAGGGUACCGAGUGUGAAGAUACUCCAGAACGUCCCCUUAACUCCCGCACUCCAGCCAGGAAGCCUCUGUGAAGUCUGCCCAACCCACGGCUUCUCCUGGACCUUGGACCAGUCAUUGAAUAGAAUUUAGCAGAGAAGUGCCAAGUCCAAGACAGAGGCUGGAGAGUGGCUCAGGUGGCUUCAGACAGACCCAUCUCCCACCCACAGCCCAAGGAUGCGGAGGCCACACCAUCCGCAGCACCCUGGGCUUCUGCAGUGUGAGAGCUCAGUGCCUCUUGGGUGACUUUCAAGACCCUGGCCUGGCGUUUCAAGGCCCUCUAGGAGAACUGGCCUGACCUUGCACCAUUUCCCCAUGUAUCACCAUCCUUCAUGCUUCAUCCCCUACUGCUCCCAUCUGAAGGGCCUUCCCUGCUGGGUGACUCCUACCUGUGCUUCAGUGCCCAGUCACACCUCUUCCAGGAAGCCCUCCUGGCCGCCUCAGUGAUCACUUCUGCAAAUGAUAGAACACCUGGUGCCUGCGUCACUCUGGACC